rnacentral:rRNA from 1 species
CAGCAGCCGCGGUAAUACGAAGGGUGCAAGCGUUACUCGGAAUUACUGGGCGUAAAGCGUGUGUAGGUGGUUGUUUAAGUCUGUCGUGAAAGCCCUGGGCUCAACCUGGGAAUUGCGAUGGAUACUGGGCGACUAGAGUGCGGUAGAGGAUAGUGGAAUUUCCGGUGUAGCAGUGAAAUGCGUAGAGAUCGGAAGGAACAUCUGUGGCGAAGGCGACUAUCUGGGCCAACACUGACACUGAGACACGAAAGCGUGGGGAGCAAACAGGAUUAGAUACCCCUGUAGUCCCUGUCUCUUAUAC